UGUACACAGCUCAAUGGUAGAGUACUUGCCCAGCAUGCACAAGGUCCUGGGUUCGAUCCCCAGUACUGAACAA
rnacentral:tRNA from 1 species